AUACGUAGGGGGCGAGCGUUGUCCGGAAUGAUUGGGCGUAAAGGGCGCGUAGGCGGCGCGGUAAGUCUGGAGUGAAAGUCCUGCUUUCAAGGUGGGAAUUGCUUUGGAUACUGCCGCGCUUGAGUGCAGGAGAGGUUAUCGGAAUUCCCGGUGUAGCGGUGAAAUGCGUAGAGAUCGGGAGGAACACCAGUGGCGAAGGCGGGUAACUGGACUGCAACUGACGCUGAGGCGCGAAAGUGUGGGGAGCAAACAGGAUUAGAUACCCUGGUAGUCCACACUGUAAACGAUGAAUGCUAGGUGUAGGAGGUAUCGACCCCUUCUGUGCCGCAGUAAACACAGUAAGCAUUCCGCCUGGGGAGUACGGUCGCAAGAUUAAAACUCAAAGGAAUUGGCGGGG
rnacentral:rRNA from 1 species